UACGUAGGGGGCGAGCGUUGUCCGAAGUUACUGGGCGUAAAGCGCGCGUAGGCGGCUUCUUAAGUCUGGGGUGAAAGGUUCAGCGCUCAACGCGAACAGUGCCUUGGAUACUGGGGGGCUUGGAAUGUGGCAGAGGAUAGUGGAAUGGCUGGUGUAGCGGUGAAAUGCGUAGAUAUCAGUCGGAACACCCAUGGCGAAGGCAGCUAUCUGGGCUAACAUUGACGCUGAGGUGCGAAAGCGUGGGGAGCGAACGGG
rnacentral:rRNA from 1 species